rnacentral:misc_RNA from 1 species
GGGUGGUGCAUGGUCGUUCUUA